ACGCAAGGUCUGAGAGGGGCUCCAAGAUUAAACUUGAGUGUGCGUGGACAUCAUCAGCCACAAUGAGCAUUCUCAAGGUGUUCACUGUUGCCCUUGUGCUGUUUGGAACCAGCUGUCUUUCUGCGAAGAUAAAGAGACAACUGCCAUCCGAUAUAGAUGUUCCACCAGAUGGCGAUGUUCAGUCACUUCCAUUACCAGCUAGGUAACCACCUGGUCCACCUUCAGGACCACCUGGGGGACCACCUGGGUUUCCAUUCUUGAAGCGAGGGCCACCAGG